rnacentral:tRNA from 1 species
AGGAGUAAAAUCCUCCGCGAGUA